rnacentral:rRNA from 1 species
UACGUAGGGGGCAAGCGUUGUCCGGAAUCAUUGGGCGUAAAGAGCGUGUAGGCGGCCUGGUAAGUCCGCUGUGAAAGUCCAGGGCUCAACCCUGGAAUGCCGGUGGAAACUGUCAGGCUCGAGUCCGGAAGAGGCGAGUGGAAUUCCUGGUGUAGCGGUGAAAUGCGCAGAUAUCAGGAGGAACACCAAUGGCGAAGGCAGCUCGCUGGGACGGAACUGACGCUAAGGCGCGAAAGCGUGGGGAGCGAACAGG